rnacentral:rRNA from 1 species
GUGCCAGCAGCCGCGGUAAUACCGGCAGCCCGAGUGAUGGCCGAUCUUAUUGGGCCUAAAGCGUCCGUAGCUGGGUCUGAAAGUCCAUCGGGAAAUCCACUCGCUCAACGAGUGGCCGUCCGGUGGAAACUCCACACCUUGGGACCGGAAGGCUCGAAGGGUACGGCCGGGGUAGGGUGAAAUCCUGUAAUCCCGCACGGACCACCGAUGGCGAAAGCACCUCGAGAAGACGGCUCCGACGGUGAGGGACGAAAGCCAGGGUCUCGAACCGGAUUAGAUACCCCAGUAGUCC